rnacentral:rRNA from 1 species
ACGGAAAGGCCCCACUUUUUUGGUGGGGGUGCUCGAGUGGCGAACGGGUGAGUAACACGUGGGUGAUCUGCCCUGUACUUCGGGAUAAGCUUGGGAAACUGGGUCUAAUACCGGAUAGGACCAUGGUUUAGUGUCUCAUGGUGGAAAGAUUAUUGUUUUGGUGCAGGAUGAGCUCGCGGCCUAUCAGCUUGUUGGUGGGGUAAUGGCCUACCAAGGCGUCGACGGGUAGCCGGCCUGAGAGGGUGGACGGCCACAUUGGGACUGAGAUACGGCCCAGACUCCUACGGGAGGCAGCAGUGGGGAAUAUUGCACAAUGGGCGCAAGCCUGAUGCAGCGACGCCGCGUGGGGGAUGACGGCCUUCGGGUUGUAAACUCCUUUCGUUAGGGACGAAGCCGCACCUGUUUUGGGUGUGGUGACGGUACCUUUGUUAAGAAGCACCGGCUAACUACGUGCCAGCAGCCGCGGUAAUACGUAGGGUGCGAGCGUUGUCCGGAAUUACUGGGCGUAAAGAGCUCGUAGGUGGUUUGUUGCGUCGUCUGUGAAAUUCCGGGGCUUAACUUCGGGGUGGCAGGCGAUACGGGCAUAACUAGAGUGCUGUAGGGGAGACUGGAAUUCCUGGUGUAGCGGUGGAAUGCGCAGAUAUCAGGAGGAACACCGAUGGCGAAGGCAGGUCUCUGGGCAGUAACUGACGCUGAGGAGCGAAAGCAUGGGGAGCGAACGGGAUUAGAUACCCUGGUAGUCCAUGCUGUAAACGGUGGGCGUUAGGUGUGGGGACCGGUUUGGUUUCUGUGCCGUAGCUAACGCAUUAAGCGCCCC